GUGCUUACUUUGGCAGCACAUGUACUAAAACUGGAACGACACAGGGAAUAUUAGCAUGGCCACUGCGUAAGAAUGACAUGCAAAUUUGUGAAGUGUUCCAUAUUUUA
rfam:Balearica pavonina gibbericeps contig53605, whole genome shotgun sequence.